UACGUAGGGGGCAAGCGUUGUCCGGAAUCAUUGGGCGUAAAGAGCGCGUAGGCGGCCCAGUAAGUCCGCUCUGAAAGUCAGGGGCUCAACCCCUGGAUGCGGGUGGAUACUGCUGGGCUAGAGUCCGGAAGAGGUGAGUGGAAUUCCUGGUGUAGCGGUGAAAUGCGCAGAUAUCAGGAAGAACACCCGUGGCUAAGGCGGCUCUCUAGUACGUGACUGACGCUGAGACGCGAAAGCGUGGGGAGCGAACAGG
rnacentral:rRNA from 1 species